AGUCACUGACAUUAGAUACCCGUGUAGUCCAGGGUGUAAACGCUGCAGACUUGGUGUUGGGAACCCUUCGGGGGUGCUCAGUGCCGGAGAGAAGUUGUUAAGUCUGCUACUUGGGGAGUACGUCCGCAAGGAUGAAACUUAAAGGAAUUGGCGGGGGAGCACCGCAACGGGAGGAGCGUGCGGUUUAAUUGGAUUCAACGCCGAAAACUCACCAGCAGCGACUGUUACAUGAAAGUCAGGUUGAUGACCUUACUAGAUUUUCAG
rnacentral:rRNA from 1 species